rnacentral:lncRNA from 1 species
CCAUGUAUUAUAUUUUGGGAUUUUGGGCCCCAUUUUUAAAUUGGUCCACAUUGAGGUCCAAAGGGUACAAAAUUAAACUUUGUUUGAUUUUAAUAAAAAAUGAAUAAUUGGGGUUAUUUGAAUUGCCCAAUCUAACUCUGUAUUUAGAUUUUUAAUUUUUGGUACCGUUUUCAAAUUGGUCUACAUUAUGGUCCAUAGGGUCCAAUAUUAAACUUAGUUUGAUUUCC